rnacentral:tmRNA from 1 species
GGGGGCGAGUUAGGUUCGACAGGGGGAACGGGGAGCGGAGAUAAGCGGGCCGAGGUCCCACCUGCUCGUUAAACGGUGGAUUCAAAGACAACUGCCGACAAUCAACCGGCACUCGCGGCUGCUUAAUUAGCUGAGCCGCGCGCCUGACGGGCUCCGCCUGCCGAGACUCGUCGGGUGUCAUCGGAGGCAGGCUUACCGGCCCUCCCCGCCCAGGGUGGGCCGGGACACUCCUCUGGGAUAGCCCCGUAGGCAUCCUGCCUGUGGGAGGCCGCGGGGCGAAGGUCAUACACAGGCUACGCCCGUAGAAACUCCCCUCUCUGUCCUUCUGGACCAGGGGUGCGACUCCCCUGCGCCUCCACCA